UGAAACUAAGACUUACUAACUGGAAUGAAAGAGUGAAAGGUCUGGAACGAGUGGAGUGAGGGAACGAGAGAGUAAGGGAAAUGGAAAGGAAAAACGAGAGUGAGAGAAGUGAGAACAAGAGAUGGAAAGGAAAGAGCGGUGUUUCGUAGAUGAGCGGGUCUGGGUAACCGUGGGUCCAUUUUUGGUACCCGACCCGUUCUUUU
rnacentral:lncRNA from 1 species